rnacentral:rRNA from 1 species
UACGUAGGGGGCAAGCGUUAUCCGGAAUCACUGGGCGUAAAGGGAGCGUAGGCGGUUUGACAAGCCAGAGGUGAAAGGCAAUAGCUUAACUAUUGUAAGCCUUUGGAACUGUCGAACUUGAGUGCAGGAGAGGAAAGUGGAAUUCCUAGUGUAGCGGUGAAAUGCGUAGAUAUCUGGAAGAACGCCAAAGGCGAAGGCAGGUUUCUGGGCCGCAAUUGACGCUGAGACGCGAAAGCUAGGGGAGCAAACAGGAUUAGAAACCCCGGUAGU